UCUCCUUUUUCUAAUCAGUGAAACUAAUCUUCCCGUGAAGAAGCGGGAAUACCCCUAUAAGACGAGAAGACCCCAUGGAGCUUCAAACCCAACUACACCCCUAACUUCUAUAACCCCCACCCCACGGGACCCUGUAUAGUUGGUUUUAGGUUGGGGCAACCACGGAGCACAACAAAGCCUCCACAAUGAAUGGGACCACCCCCCUUAUCUAAGAGCCACACCCCUAGGAAUUAAAACAUUAAUAUAAAAUGAUCCAUUAUUUGAUCAAUGAACCAAGUUACCCUGGGGAUAACAGCGCAAUCCAUUUCAAGAGCCCCUAUCGACAAAUGGG
rnacentral:rRNA from 1 species